rnacentral:tRNA from 14 species
CCGCCAUUAGCUCAUCAGGAAGAGCGAACGACGUACGUUGUAGGGAACGGGGUUCGAGGCCUCGAUGGCGGCCCA